CCUACGGGAGGCUGCAGUGAGGAAUAUUGGUCAAUGGGCGAGAGCCUGAACCAGCCAAGUCGCGUGAAGGAAGACUGUCCUAUGGAUUGUAAACUUCUUUUGUACGGGAAUAAAGUGGGCUACGUGUAGCCUUUUGUAUGUACCGUACGAAUAAGGAUCGGCUAACUCCGUGCCAGCAGCCGCGGUAAUACGGAGGAUCCGAGCGUUAUCCGGAUUUAUUGGGUUUAAAGGGUGCGUAGGUGGAUUGAUAAGUCAGUGGUGAAAGUUUGCAGCUUAACUGUAAAAUUGCCGUUGAAACUGUCGGUCUUGAGUGCAAAUGAGGUAGGCGGAAUGCGUCGUGUAGCGGUGAAAUGCUUAGAUAUGACGCAGAACUCCGAUUGCGAAGGCAGCUUACUGGGAUGCAACUGACACUGAGGCACGAAAGCGUGGGUAUCAAACAGGAUUAGAUACCCCUGUAGUC
rnacentral:rRNA from 1 species